rnacentral:lncRNA from 1 species
AGGCGCGCCAGGCACUCGAGACAGAAGACGUGGCCGCAGUCCAGGCGCUUGGGCAGCUUGAACACGCCGUCGAAGGACGACACGCAGAUGAGUGCUACUUCAAGGUGACAAGCCUCUCAGGAUGGUCUUGUGACUACCCAGACCUCACAGGCACCCAAGCCACCCAUCCACCCAGACCACAGCAACAUCUCAUGUGCCACGCCCUCAGAAGUUAUGGAUAACCCCAUCUCAUUUCCAGUACCUGCUGGGACACUCCAGGCAGCCUGGCCUGCAUCCAGUGCCCCACCUGCUAGCCCUGGGGUGCCAUGGUUCUGAGUCAGCAAUACUUCCAGGUCCCCACAGGCCAACAGGUCAGGAAGGUGAGCAGCUCCCAAGGCCACCAGGGCUAUGCCACCCACAUCCCCCCACCGAAGACAGACAACAGCACAGG